rnacentral:rRNA from 1 species
UAGGGAAUAUUGGUCAAUGGAGGCAACUCUGAACCAGCCACGCCGCGUGCAGGAUGAAGGCCCUCUGGGUUGUAAACUGCUUUUGUUAGGGAAAAAACCCCUCGAUGCGUUGAGGGUUGAUGGUACCUAAAGAAUAAGGAUCGGCUAACUCCGUGCCAGCAGCCGCGGUAAUACGGAGGAUCCUAGCGUUGUCCGGAUUUAUUGGGUUUAAAGGGUGCGUAGGCGGAAUAUUAAGUCAGGGGUGAAAGCCGGUCGCUUAACGAUCGAAUUGCCUUUGAAACUGGUAUUCUUGAAUUUGAUUGAGGUAGGCGGAAUGUGUCAUGUAGCGGUGAAAUGCAUAGAUAUGAUACAGAACACCGAUUGCGAAGGCAGCUUACUAAGUCAACAUUGACGCUGAGGC